rnacentral:rRNA from 1 species
CAAACUUGGUCAUUUAGAGGAAGUAAAAGUCGUAACAAGGUCUCCGUUGGUGAACCAGCGGAGGGAUCAUUACCGAGUUAUACAACUCAUCAACCCUGUGAACAUACCUAAAACGUUGCUUCGGCGGGAACAGACGGCCCUGUAACAACGGGCCGCCCCCGCCAGAGGACCCCUAACUCUGUUUUUAUAAUGUUUUUCUGAGUAAACAAGCAAAUAAAUUAAAACUUUCAACAACGGAUCUCUUGGCUCUGGCAUCGAUGAAGAACGCAGCGAAAUGCGAUAAGUAAUGUGAAUUGCAGAAUUCAGUGAAUCAUCGAAUCUUUGAACGCACAUUGCGCCCGCCAGUAUUCUGGCGGGCAUGCCUGUUCGAGCGUCAUUACAACCCUCAGGCCCCCGGGCCUGGCGUUGGGGAUCGGCGGAAGCCCCCUGUGGGCACACGCCGUCCCUCAAAUACAGUGGCGGUCCCGCCGCAGCUUCCAUUGCGUAGUAGCUAACACCUCGCAACUGGAGAGCGGCGCGGCCAUGCCGUAAAACACCCAACUUCUGAAUGUUGACCUCGAAUCAGGUAGGAAUACCCGCUGAACUUAAGCAUAUCAAUAAGCGGAGGA